UGGGGAAUUUUGGACAAUGGGCGCAAGCCUGAUCCAGCCAUGCCGCGUGUCUGAAGAAGGCCUUCGGGUUGUAAAGGACUUUUGUCAGGGAAGAAAAGGCUGUUGCUAAUAUCGACAGCUGAUGACGGUACCUGAAGAAUAAGCACCGGCUAACUACGUGCCAGCAGCCGCGGUAAUACGUAGGGUGCGAGCGUUAAUCGGAAUUACUGGGCGUAAAGCGAGCGCAGACGGUUACUUAAGCAGGAUGUGAAAUCCCCGGGCUCAACCUGGGAACUGCGUUCUGAACUGGGUGACUAGAGUGUGUCAGAGGGAGGUAGAAUUCCACGUGUAGCAGUGAAAUGCGUAGAGAUGUGGAGGAAUACCGAUGGCGAAGGCAGCCUCCUGGGAUAACACUGACGUUCAUGCUCGAAAGCGUGGGUAGCAAACAGGAUUAGAUACCCUGGUAGUCCACGCCCUAAACGAUGUCAAUUAGCUGUUGGGCAACUUGAUCGCUUAGUAGCGUANCUNACGCGUGAAAUUGACCGCCUGGGGAGUACGGUCGCAAGANU
rnacentral:rRNA from 1 species